UCAAGCCCAAUAAAUUUCCCCUUUGCAGCUUCCCUCUUCUCUCCAUUUUCGAAUUCUCUCCGCGAAAACUCAAUUCCCCCACCCAUCGAUCGAGCUCGCCGUCUCCGAUGGCGGCGGAGGCGGAGGCGGAGCCGCGGCGGUGGGCGGCGACGUACACGAAGCACGUGAAGCAGAAGCGCAAGGCGUACCAGGACGGCGCCAUCGUCCUCCACCGCGCCUCCGUCAACCUCGUCCUCCUCGACGACGCGGGCGGCACCGUCGAGUGCAGGACGCUCCGCACCGGCGAGGAGGUGUUCCCCGGCGCCUCGCUCGCGUUCCAGCGCCACCUCGUCGACGUCGGCGAGCCCGAGCCCCACCCCGGGUCGGGGUCCUCCUCCGCCGCCGCAUCCCCCGCUUCCCGAGGCGUCCACCGCGGCGGCGCAAGCGCCAGGGCGCGUCCCAGCGCGGUGAACUCGCGGCCUCCCCGUGCGUUCGCGGACCCUAACACGAAGGGGGGUGGCGGUGGCGGUGGCAAGGAUGAAGCCGUGGGUUCGAGUUUCCAAGAGUGGACCGCACUGUACACCACCCAGCUGACUCAGAAGGCGAAGAAGUUCCAUGAUGGUGUCGUCAGGCUCGCGCAGGUCAGUUCGCACGCGAAGCAGAUAAUUUUGCUGGAUGAAGAGGGCGGAGUGCUAGCCACCAGGUACCUCAAGUCAGGGGAAUCUUUGGAAACUGGGAAGAAAUGUCAUUUCCCUAACUAUCUUAUUGAGAUUUGUGAGGCGAAGAGUGUAAACAAAGGUUUACAAACUAAUUCCUCGGAGGAACCUAUGGUGCAAACAAGACCAAGGAGUGGGGAGAAUACAAGUAACAAAACAGGAUCAGGUCCAACGAGUAAACCACUCAAAUUUACCAGUCCACAGAAAUUUCAUGAUCUUGAGGACAGUAAAUCAUCAAAUACUGCUGGUUCAAGUAAGCCAGAAACUUCAAAGAUUGGAGUUGUGGAUGCUGGUAGCUCAGGAAGCAUUAUGGGUUCAACAGACUCUGAAUUUAAAGAAUGGAGUGCCUUAUAUACCACCCAACUAACACAGAAGGCAAAGAAGUACCAUGAUGGUGUGAUAAAGCUUGUGCAAGUUGGUUCGCAUGCAAAGCAGAUUGUUCUGCUGGAUGAAGAUGGUGGAGUGCUUGGCAGCAGAUAUCUCAAGUCAGGUGAAUCUGUUGAAAGCGGGAUGAAAUACCAGUUGCCUAAUUAUCUUAUCGAAGUUUGUGAGAUAAGAAAACAAAAGAAUGAUGUAGAGUCUAAACACCCUUCAGAGGUGGUUUUGAGUCAAACUGGAUCAGCGAAUGGACAUAAUACAACUGACAGGACAGAUGGGAGAAACAAAUCUCCAAAAUUUGUCAGUCCACUGAAGUUCAAUCAUUUUCAAAAGAGUAGAUUACAAGGUAGUAAUGGUUUCAACAGGCCAACGGUUGCCAAAUCAAUACAUACUAACAUGAUUGAUACACUAAAAUUUCAUGAUACUCAGAAGGCUAAACCAGAUUUUACUGUUGGCUACAAGACAGACCUUGGCAAAUCAACAUUUAGUAACUUGGAUGAUCCACAUCAAUUUAAUGUUUUUGCAGAUAAUAAGCAAGAUAAAACAGAAUAUGCUGCAAGCUAUAAUCCACAAGAAGUUGGCAAAUCAAGUUAUGAUAGAGUGGACAGUCCUCUAGGAUUCUGUGAUCUUCAGGAUGGUAAAUCAGGAUCUUCCACUAGUUUUUUGAGGAGAGAGGCUGGCAGAACAACUUUUGGUAACACGGAUGAUUCUUUGAGAACUGCAUCCCAAAUACUGUCUAUCAUGAGGCCCCCAUCGGAAAUUAAAUACUCCCAAAGUGUUCCAGCUUCACAAGUACACUCCUCAGCAUCCUUUGGAUCAAAUAUAGCUCGUGAUGCGGAUCAUAGCAAGACAGCUUCUAACAUUUCAGUGAUCAACAGUUCAAACAGAACUAUUGGUGUUAAUAUGAACUCUCGAAUGUCUCAUUGUGCUACACAACUUCGUGCAUCAGUGCUGGCUUGUUUAAAUUUAGAAACUCUGCAGCCAAGGAACUCAAUAUGCACUACUCUUCAGAGUGAGUUAUCAGGGAGUGCCCAUCCAACUUAUGAUCAUCAGACAGUCAUGAGACCAACAACUUUUGAUAGUCUGGAAUUGGACAUGGUGGAUACCCCAACAUCUGAUGUAUCCAAUGCAAAAGAGCAGAGUCAAGGUUCAACAAGGAACCAUCAAACUGAAAGUUCUAAAGAUUCUGCACCAGCUAUGUGUACUACUAGCUCAGACCCUCCAUCGGGUAAAGGUGAAACUGCAGACCAGCUCAGUUCAGAUUACAGAGUGGUGGAAGAAAAAUGUGGCAGUUACCCCUUUUUAUCUGCAGGCGACCUGACGUUAACAGAUGAUGAUUGCCCUUCGUUUGAUCUUGGCUUCUAGCGGAAGGGUUUCGUUGAGGGAUUCCUUGGCCUUCUUAAACUCAAUCUGUUCACUGCUUAAGGAGAAUGGAUGGCGUGAAGGCGCACUCUGCGUUGUAAGUUGCAACAAAACAAUGGGCAGGUUCACAUCUAUCUUUGGCGUUUCGUUUUGUCCAAUUGGUCAAUUGGGCUCGCUCUCAAGUUUGCAUUCAAUUCAAAAUGUAGCACUUGGCAACAUCCAAAGGUGCUACUUGGCCAGCCAGCCAGCCAACUUCCCAAAUGCUUAAUCAUGGUAUAGAAAAGGUCUGUUAUGCGCUCACCUCUCAUGCAUAAGCCCAAACCACACACAAUAAAGAAAAAAAGAGGAACGCCACGUAAACGUAAACAUGAGGCAUCGUAGAUUUUUAUGACUUUUAAUACCGUGAAGAAAUUAUUACUAUAUAUUUUUAAUUUUUAUGAGUUACUCCCUCUAUGUCUCAACCACUUUUUUUCUCUGUCUCAUGAUAUAAUGCGUGCAUGCAUGUAUACAUUAACUAGCACCUCGUACUCUAAAUUUGCUCCUCGUACUCCAAAUUUGCUCUGUUUUAAAUCCUCUAACAUCAACCCCCCUCACAUUACUUGCAUGCAUCAAUGUGAUCUAACCGAGGAAGUGAUUAAAUUAUUUUUUUGGUCUUUGUGUUAGUGAUAGUUGUGCUUCAUAUUUUGGAAUAUAGUACUUUCCUAGUAGUGUAGUUGCCUCUUAUAUCAUUGAGAGUUAUUCUAUUUUUUAUAGUUAUUUCCCUAUAACAAUAUCGUUCCUUUUAAUAUCGUGAAAAGUUACUUCUUAUAUCAAGAAAAAUAAUAUAGUGAUUACUUCAAAUAAGAAAAUCCAUGUAUAUAAUUAUGAAUAUUCUCUACAUUUUACUUAUGAAUUUACUUCAUAUAGUUUCUUAUUUCCAACUUAUCCCUAUGUAAUUACUUUAGCAUUAUUUUAUGAAAAGUUACUUCUCAACUGAGUUACUUUUAUAAUGUGAGCAAAUUACUAUUAAAUAUUUAAAAAUAAUUAAUAUUAAAGUCGUUUUAUCAUACCUUUUAAGUAGAGUAAGAUGGUUUAAAUGGAAUUUAUAAAUAAUACAUGGUUUGAAAUAUAUAAACCAUCAAAGGUUUGUAUUAAGAAAAAAUAGAUUAGUGAUGUUGGUUCUAUGUAUCAAACCUUUAAUUUAACUAGUACAACCCAAUUAGCCAGUGACAUAUCUGGUCAACCCACUAACAGAUUAUACUAACAUUUUUGGAUUGGAAGGAGGGCACUAGGGUUGUGCCGUAAGUUUAAAUAGUGCACGCGAACUAAUUAAAUUUCACUAUAAAUUUGCAAUAUCUCAUAAAAUUACUUAAUGUAAAAUUAGUGUCCCGAUUUUAAAAUUAUGACUUAUCACUAACAGACUUAUGAUGUAUUGGCAAUGCAUAUUACAAUUUGUUUUGGGCUUAUUUGAUAUCCACCUCUUUUAAUGCUGGAACCCAAUUAAACUGUUGUAACUCAACUUAAAAAAAAAUGGAAUGGGUUAAAAUGAUUUAAAAUAUAACUAAAGAGAUGGAUCGAGAUUCAAGCCGCUUCAUAACUUUAUUCUAAAGUUCACUCUCAA